AUCGCUUCUCAGCCUUUUGGCUAAGAUCAAAGUGUAGCAUCUGGUCGGCUGCAUACUGGGCAGGUUAUUCCAGUUGAAGCUUGCGUGGAUUGACUUGAUUUUCUUCCCUGGCGAUUCUGCCAUGGCCGAAUUUUACUCCAGUUUCCACAUGAGUACUCUGCUUCCGUUUCCUAUGAAGCAGACUCCAA
rnacentral:snRNA from 1 species